UUGAAACGCGCCAGAUUUGAAUAUGGAUGUGGAUCGAUUCCGGGCGGCAUCAUUUUCUCUUUAGGCUUUUGGCAUUUCUACAUAUCAUGUUAUCCAUGUUUCACAUGUUUUGUUCACCUUUUUUUUAUUUUUUCUUCACAUUACAAAAAUCAUAACUCAUUCAAUAUUUGUCCAAUUAACAUGAGGUUUUUUCCAUGAUGAUCCUUGCCAUGUCUACUUUUU
rnacentral:lncRNA from 1 species